GGCCACUUAGCUCAGUUGGUUAGAGCUUGGUGCUAAUAACACCAAGGUCAUGGGUUCAAUCCCUGUAUGGGCCA
rfam:Loxodonta africana unplaced genomic scaffold scaffold_11, whole genome shotgun sequence.